CCUACGGGAGGCAGCAGUGGGGAAUCUUGCGCAAUGGGCGAAAGCCUGACGCAGCCAUGCCGCGUGAAUGAUGAAGGUCUUAGGAUUGUAAAAUUCUUUCACCGAGGACGAUAAUGACGGUACUCGGAGAAGAAGCCCCGGCUAACUUCGUGCCAGCAGCCGCGGUAAUACGAAGGGGGCUAGCGUUGCUCGGAAUUACUGGGCGUAAAGGGAGCGUAGGCGGAUAGUUUAGUCAGAGGUGAAAGCCCAGGGCUCAACCUUGGAAUUGCCUUUGAUACUGGCUAUCUUGAGUACGGAAGAGGUAUGUGGAACUCCGAGUGUAGAGGUGAAAUUCGUAGAUAUUCGGAAGAACACCAGUGGCGAAGGCGACAUACUGGUCCGUUACUGACGCUGAGGCUCGAAAGCGUGGGGAGCAAACAGGAUUAGAUACCCUGGUAGUCCACGCUGUAAACGAUGAGUGCUAGUUGUCGGCGAUGCAUGCAUGUCGGUGGUACGCGAGCUAACGACAUUAAGUACACUCCGCCGUCGGGAGGUACGGUCGCGAGAAGUUAAACUACGAAGAAGUAGACGGCGUGAGACGUGCCGACGGACGACGACGAGGGAGGAGG
rnacentral:rRNA from 1 species